rnacentral:rRNA from 1 species
UGGCGAGCGGGUGAGUAACACGUGGGUGAUCUGCCCUGCACUUCGGGAUAAGCCUGGGAAACUGGGUCUAAUACCGGAUAGGACGAUGGUUUGGAUGCCAUUGUGGAAAGUUUUUCGGUGUGGGAUGAGCUCGCGGCCUAUCAGCUUGUUGGUUGGGUAAUGGCCUACCAAGGCGUCGACGGGUAGCCGGCCUGAGAGGGUGUACGGCCACAUUGGGACUGAGAUACGGCCCAG